AUACGGAGGGUGCAAGCGUUGUUCGGAAUCACUGGGCGUAAAGGGCGCGCAGGCGGUUUGGUAAGUCAGAUGUGAAAGCCCACGGCUCAACCGUGGAAGUGCAUUUGAAACUGUCAGACUUGAGUACUAGAGGGGAAAGUGGAAUUCCCGGUGUAGAGGUGAAAUUCGUAGAUAUCGGGAGGAAUACCGGUGGCGAAGGCGACUUUCUGGCUAGAUACUGACGCUGAGGCGCGAAAGCGUGGGGAGCAAACAGGAUUAGAUACCCCUGUAGUCC
rnacentral:rRNA from 1 species